GAAUGGGGCUAAAGAAGAAGAAGCAGACACAUAAAGCCUCGUUGCGGGACGGCAGCUCAUUUGUUGUGCGGGAGCUAGGUCGUAGAUUCGUUAGGGAGGGUGAAGGGGUGUUAAGAUGACUACACUACCAUAACUAAAUACAAAGGGGUACUUACUCUGACUAGAGGAUCUUUCUACUAUUUAACAAAAAGGGACGCCGUUUGAAAUAAAUCCUCUAUUUCACCUAUGGGUACUUACUGGAUACUUUCUUACUUACGGGUACCAAUCGGGGGGACAAUCAUCAUUGAUUCCUCUUUGGGGUUACAUUGGGACAACAUCUUUCCUUAUUAUUGGCUUCUAUGCCAUAUUCUUUCUUUUCUUCUGAACUAAAAC